rnacentral:rRNA from 4 species
AAAUUGAAGAGUUUGAUCAUGGCUCAGAUUGAACGCUGGCGGCAGGCCUAACACAUGCAAGUCGAACGGUAACAGGAAGCAGCUUGCUGCUUCGCUGACGAGUGGCGGACGGGUGAGUAAUGUCUGGGAAACUGCCUGAUGGAGGGGGAUAACUACUGGAAACGGUAGCUAAUACCGC